UACAGAGGGUGCGAGCGUUGUUCGGAAUUAUUGGGCGUAAAGCGCGUGUAGGCGGCUUUGCAAGUCGGGUGUGAAAGCCCUCAGCUUAACUGAGGAAGUGCGCCCGAAACUGCCGAGCUUGAGUACCGGAGAGGAUGGUGGAAUUCCCCAAGUAGAGGUGAAAUUCGUAGAUAUGGGGAGGAACACCGGUGGCGAAGGCGACCAUCUGGACGGAUACUGACGCUGAGACGCGAAAGCGUGGGUAGCAAACAGG
rnacentral:rRNA from 1 species